GACAUGCAGAGAACUUUCCAGAGAUGGAUUGGUGCCUUCGGGAACUCUGACACAGGUGCUGCAUGGCCGUCGUCAGCUCGUGUCGUGAGAUGUUGGGUUAAGUCCGUAACGAGCGCAACCCUUGUCCUUAGUUACCAGCACGUUAUGGUGGGCACUCUAAGGAGACUGCCGGUGACAAACCGGAGGAAGGUGGGGAUGACGUCAAGUCAUCAUGGCCCUUACGGCCUGGGCUACACACGUGCUACAAUGGUCGGUACAAAGGGUUGCCAAGCCGCGAGGUGGAGCUAAUCCCAUAAAACCGAUCGUAGUCCGGAUCGCAGUCUGCAACUCGACUGCGUGAAGUCGGAAUCGCUAGUAAUCGUGAAUCAGAAUGUCACGGUGAAUACGUUCCCGGGCCUU
rnacentral:rRNA from 1 species